rfam:Capsicum annuum cultivar Zunla-1 chromosome 9, whole genome shotgun sequence
UUUGUCCCUUCGACAACAUCCGAUAAAAUUGGAAUGCUAUGGAGAAGAUCAGAAUGGCCCUCCCCAAGAAUAACACGCACAAAUCGAAAAAUGAUUCGAAGUUUU